UACGUAGGGGGCAAGCGUUGUCCGGAUUUAUUGGGCGUAAAGAGCGUGUAGGCGGCUUGGCAAGUCCGCUGUGAAAACUUGAGGCUUAACCUCGAGACGGCGGUGGAAACUGCCUAGCUAGAGUCCGGAAGAGGAGAGUGGAAUUCCUGGUGUAGCGGUGAAAUGCGCAGAUAUCAGGAAGAACACCCGUGGCUAAGGCGGCUCUCUGGUACGGUACUGACGCUGAGACGCGAAAGCGUGGGGAGCGAACAGG
rnacentral:rRNA from 1 species